GCCAAAGAUGUUUACUGAUUUUCACAUUAAUUGCAUCCGUAUGAAAUUAUUACAUUCAGGAGAUCUCACUUUUAGAGACACUCAGCCCCUGUUUAUAGGUAUUUGGAAUGAUAAAUAACAAAUGAUAAAAAUUUUAGCAUUGUAUUUUUACAAGUUAAUAUUUAGAGACAUGUAAAAGUUCUAGCAUUCUUCCAUAAAGACAGAUUUGCCCAUAUUAAUUGCUCUCCCCCCCUCCAAAUGUAGCUUGCUCUCUCUCAUGCUUGUCCUGCUUGUGCUUGCCGUUGCUGCCGCUAAUGUUGAUGCUGCUCCGGCCGUGGAGUUGAGGUCGAGGGAGGCCAUGCCUAUCCUGGAGGCACUGCCACUGCGGGAACCAGUGUAGUACGAGGAGUCGGUGUAGUGGUCGAGCUCGUCGUGGAAGGUGUGUGAAUCGGACUGGGACAUGAAGUCCCUCGUGCCGGAGCGGUCGCUGUAUCCGUCGCCGUCCAUCUCUGCCCCGGACUGGUGCGUUGCGGGAGAUCGGUGGAAGUCGAGGCUGCCGUGACCUGGUGCGGGGGGCGAAACGAGCGCGAGCGGCGGCUGAGGCGGCUCGGGCGUGAGCGCCUGCAGCGGGGGACAAGGCGGGGGAGGAGGCGGAGCAAGGGAGGAAGAGGUGGCGGAGAUCGGCGGAGGAGGAGGCGGAAGAGGCCAGCGGAUGGGGAUUUUUUUUUUUUGGGUGGGGGGUGGGGGGAGAGGGUGCGGCGGAAGAGAGAGAGCGUGAGCGGGGGUAUAGCGCGUCCGUG
rnacentral:lncRNA from 1 species